CCUACAUGACCCAACCGGGGCCGGGGACACACCACAACUGAGAGAGGAAUGGAGAGGGAGAGGGGUAGAAACAAGGACAGCCUCUUUUACAGCCUCCCAGUGGAUGUCCUUGCAGACCCCUUGGCCAGGCUUGGGUCAGCCCUCUAUAGGUCAUUGAAAGGAGUGGCAUGGGAGGCAACCAACAUCUACUAUCUGGAAAUUUUAUUGGAGUGGAAAAUUUAAAUGAAAAACAACAGUGAGAAAAGAGCAGGCCCCUGGAGGAAUGGAAACAGGAGGGUGAAGCUAAUCUCCCAGAAGGAUGGACCUGAGGCCUCAUCUGAGAUGGAACGGGGACUCCUUUACUUGCCCGGAGGUGGGCUUCCACGGGAGGCAUCGACCCCCUUCUUUCCUCCACUGUCUCAGGAAGGCCUUUUCCAACACUACUCCAGCAUUCUCCUCCCUGCCUCGUAACACUGAUCCUGGCCAGACACACUGGGC